GGCGCAAGGGUGCGUAACACGUGGGUAUUUGCCGUGAAGUUUGGGAUAACUUGCUGAAAGGCGAGCUAAUACCGGAUGUGAAUUCUUGAAGGCAUCUUCGAAAAUUCAAAGUUGGGGACCGCAAGGCCUGACGCUUUACGAUAAGCCCGCGGCCUAUCAGCUAGUUGGUGAGGUAACGGCUCACCAAGGCUAAGACGGGUAGCUGGUCUGAGAGGACGACCAGCCUCACUGGAACUGAGACACGGUCCAGACACCUACGGGUGGCAGCAGUCGAGAAUUUUUCUCAAUGGGCGAAAGCCUGAAGGAGCGACGCCGCGUGGGGGAUGAAUGGCUUCGGCCCGUAAACCCCUGUCAUUUGUGAACAAAUUGCUUCACCUAAUACGUGAUGCAUUGAUUGUAACGGAAGAGGAAGGGACGGCUAACUCUGUGCCAGCAGCCGCGGUAAUACAGAGGUCCCAAGCGUUGUUCGGAUUCACUGGGCGUAAAGGGUGCGUAGGCGGUUUGAUAAGUCUGAUGUGAAAUCCCGCAGGCU
rnacentral:rRNA from 1 species